rnacentral:lncRNA from 1 species
AACAAAUUAAUUUCUCUUUCNAAUAAAUUAAUUUAAUUACAAUUAAUUACUAAUUGAAUAAUAAUAAUUCUCCUAUGAUUUCAUCUCUUCCUUUACACUUUAAAUUUUAGUAAUUAAAGUUAAUAAUUAUAAAUUCUGCACACGUCCAAACACAGCCCCUGUGGCUAACCCAAUUAAAUUCUGAUGAUUAUUGUUUAAUGUUAAGUUUUUCCCACUAGGCCUGCAGCCCAAACAAUUAGUCGAAUCCAAAAAUUGUUAGUCCAACUUCAACUGUCCAAUCCACAACCCUAGCUUGCCACUGCCAACAUUGUUUGCCACCGCCAACCCUAGUUGCAGCCAUCACGACUUCGCUGCCAACCACNGCGUAACGGUUGUUGCUGCCCUCACAACCACAGCGAGAAAUCUAAUCUAGAACGAACCAGAAACGUCAUUCCCAUACAUAGAAACAAAACAUAAAUCCCUAAUUCAAUGCGAAUGAACCCUAUGUCUCAAAUCAAAAGAAAACAUAGAAACCCCAAAAAUCAGAAUCGAAAAUGAGGAUAGGAAAACCCCAAAAUCCCCAACAAAACCCUAAUUGCAAUACUUAAAGUCCCCCUCCGUGAAACGCAGGAGCCCUCAUCGCGCCUUCCUGCAAGCCAACAUGAAGAGAAUCGAGAAAACAACCAGGACGACCAUGUCCUCGUGUAGUCGCCGCGCCUCCGCCGCAACCUCGUCGCUUCUCACCGUAAUCUUAUCGCGUCUCUCACCUCCAUCACUGCACUCUCACCGCUGUUCGCAAGAAAAUGGAGCCGAGAAAAGAAGGGAGCUUCGACAUGUGCACGUUUUAGGAAAAGUAAAGAAAACUAAAUGAGUCACUGAGAAUAUGACCCCUUCCAAAAGAAUGAGGGUUGGGCCCUUUAUUGGGUUCCAUUUAUUCAAGCCCAAUUCAAAACAGAAAGAGAAGGAAAAGAACAUAGUGGACUUAACAAACAAAUUAACUUGGUCACUGACAGUAACCCUAAUCCCCAUUAACCUCUCAUUUAAAGAAUCUUCAAAACCCAAAUUUUUAUCUUAAUUGCAAUUAAAUGAACCUUUCAAUCUUCUGAAUUAGAAUUCAAUACGUGAAUUCUUAUACACUUAGGUAGAAUUCAAUUGCUUAAAUUCAAAAUUACAUUAACAUAAUAAUGCAAUUUAUUUAUANUUAAAAUCAUCAAUCAAAAUUUCAAACAUCAUUCUAUCACAUCNAAAUAUUCAAUCAGGAUUCAAUCAAAUUAAUCACCCUUUAAAUGCAAAGAUAAUUUUUUCAUAAAUAAAAGGUACUUAAGAAAAGUUCCACAUUGAUUAUACAAUAAAGAAAAGUAAGCUUCCCAUACCUUAGCUAAUCAACAAAAUAAGUUUUCACCCCUUCUUCUACAGACUCUCCUUCCUUUCAGUCGCUCUGUCUAAUGCUUUCUUUUUCCUUUCCUUUCACCUCUUCUUCCUAAAAUCUUUCACCCACUAUUCCUAAAAUCUCUCAACCACUAUUUUAAAAACACAACUGCUAUAUCUUUUAUUUUUUCUUUUAAUGUAUGCCUUUACUUCUUAUACCCCUAUUUAUAAUAUCUGCACCCCAAUUACAAAAAUGGAAAAGACAUUUUUGCCCUUAGGCAUACAUAUCUACCAUUAAG